GUCCACGCUGUAAACGAUGGAUGCUAGGUGUUGGGGGUAUUGACCCCUCCAGUGCCGCAGUUAACGCAUUAAGCAUCCCGCCUGGGGAGUACGGCCGCAAGGCUAAAACUCAAAGGAAUUGACGGGGGCCCGCACAAGCGGUGGAGCAUGUGGUUUAAUUCAACGCAACGCGAAGAACCUUACCUGGGUUAAAUCCGCCGGAAGUCCGCAGAGAUGUGGAUGUGCCCUUCGGGGAGCCGGUGAGAAGGUGCUGCAUGGCUGUCGU
rnacentral:rRNA from 1 species